rnacentral:rRNA from 1 species
AAAUUGAAGAGUUUGAUCAUGGCUCAGAUUGAACGCUGGCGGCAGGCCUAACACAUGCAAGUCGAACGGUAACAGGAAGCAGCUUGCUGCUUUGCUGACGAGUGGCGGACGGGUGAGUAAUGUCUGGGAAACUGCCUGAUGGAGGGGGAUAACUACUGGAAACGGUGGCUAAUACCGCAUAACGUCGCAAGACCAAAGAGGGGGACCUUCGGGCCUCUUGCCAUCAGAUGUGCCCAGAUGGGAUUAGCUUGUUGGUGAGGUAACGGCUCACCAAGGCGACGAUCCCUAGCUGGUCUGAGAGGAUGACCAGCCACACUGGAACUGAGACACGGUCCAGACUCCUACGGGAGGCAGCAGUGGGGAAUAUUGCACAAUGGGCGCAAGCCUGAUGCAGCCAUGCCGCGUGUAUGAAGAAGGCCUUCGGGUUGUAAAGUACUUUCAGCGGGGAGGAAGGUGUUGUGGUUAAUAACCACAGCAAUUGACGUUACCCGCAGAAGAAGCACC